UACGAAGGGGGCUAGCGUUGUUCGGAAUUACUGGGCGUAAAGGGCGCGUAGGCGGUACUUCAAGUCAGGCGUGAAAGCCCCGGGCUCAACCUGGGAACUGCGUCUGAUACUGGAUGGCUUGAAUUCGGGAGAGGGAUGCAGAAUUCCAGGUGUAGCGGUGAAAUGCGUAGAUAUCUGGAGGAAUACCGGUGGCGAAGGCGGCAUCCUGGACCGACAUUGACGCUGAUGAGCGAAAGCUAGGGGAGCAAACGGG
rnacentral:rRNA from 1 species